rnacentral:rRNA from 1 species
UACGAAGGGGGCUAGCGUUGUUCGGAAUUACUGGGCGUAAAGCGCGCGCAGGCGGCUCUUCAAGUCAGGGGUGAAAGCCCAGAGCUCAACUCUGGAACUGCCUUUGAGACUGAAGAGCUUGAGUACGGGAGAGGUGAGUGGAAUUCCCAGUGAUAGAGGUGAAAUUCGUAGAUAUUGGGAAGAACACCGGUGGCGAAGGCGGCGUCACUG